UACGGAGGGGGCUAGCGUUGUUCGGAAUUACUGGGCGUAAAGCGCACGUAGGCGGCUUUGUAAGUUAGAGGUGAAAGCCCGGGGCUCAACUCCGGAAUUGCCUUUAAGACUGCAUCGCUAGAAUUGUGGAGAGGUAAGUGGAAUUCCGAGUGUAGAGGUGAAAUUCGUAGAUAUUCGGAAGAACACCAGUGGCGAAGGCGACUUAACUG
rnacentral:rRNA from 1 species